rnacentral:rRNA from 1 species
GACGAACGCUGGCGGCGUGCCUAAUACAUGCAAGUCGAGCGCAGUGGGGACAGGUGAGUAACACGUGGGUAACCUCCCAUCAGAGGGGAGAACACUUGGCAACAGGUGCUAAACCGAUACUGAUGGAUGGACCCGCGGGGCAUUAGGUAGUUGGUGAGGUAACGGCUCACCAAGGCCACGAGGCAUAGCCGACCUGAUAGGGUGAUCGGCCACACUGGGACUGAGACACGGCCCAGACUCCUACGGGAGGCAGCAGUAGGGAAUCUUCGGCAAUGGACGAAAGUCUGAUCGAGCCACGCCGCGGGAGUGAAGAAGGUUUUCGGAUCGUAAAACUCUUUUGUUAGAGAAGCGGUAUCUAACCAGAAAGCCACGGCUAACUCCGUGCCAGCAGCCGCGGUAAUUC